rnacentral:lncRNA from 1 species
GCAGACGGCGGAUCCUCCCAGCCUGGAGGAGGGCGAGGCCGAGCCUCAGCCGGGAGAGGAGGCCCCCUGAGGCCGCCUCCCGUCCCUCCCAGUGCCUCGCUGUCCUGGCAGGAGGGGGGCAAGUAGGGGUGCCACAGAGCCUAGGCUGCGCUGGGGGACUGGGGAAGCGCAUCCCAUGAGAAAGGCCCUUAGCUGGGUCACCAGGAACCCAGGGAACCAUAGUGUCCAACCACCCCCACCAAUCCCGUGGGGGAGGGGGUUCAAGUUCUGAGAGUUGAGGGACUGCAGCCAACAUGCCUGGGUUCCAAUCGAGGGUCACCCACUUCCUAACCUAACAGUAUAAACAAGUUACCAAAAAAAAAAAAAAGCCCCCCCCCCGCACACACACGACAAGAGCAAAACUGCUCCAGGCCUCAGUUUACCUAGCUGUAAAAUGGGCAUGAUAGCAGUACUCACUUCAAAGUGCAUUUGUUGGGUUAGGAGUGUCAACUCACUCUAUAAUCCCAAAACUUUGGGAGGCUGUGGCAGGAGGAUCGCUUGAACUUAGGAGUUUGAGACCAGCCUAGGCAACAUAGUGAGACCCCC